rnacentral:lncRNA from 1 species
CCAGAAAAUCAAGCUUAAGAUGCAUGCGGACCACAUGAAACCAGCACUUACUAUUCCAAUGGAGCAAAAUCUUUUCCCACUGCACUCGAUGGAUAAACAAGUUUCAAGUGAGAUUGGGACUUCUAAGGAUUCCUUAUGGUUCAGGUUACUCCUACAAGUUUGUUCAUAUUUUCCAAGAGGACAACUCUCACAUGAGUUGCACACAUGUGGACUGAUGCCAGUGGAACCAGUGGAAUGUUCCGGAUACACAUUCACUGUGUAAGUAUCCGCUGACUGAGGUAAGCACUUGCAAUGUAACUUUAGCGCAGUCUAAAGGUUCCAGGUAGAUGCCAGGUGUGAAAAGCAACAGAAACAAAACAAAACCAAACAAACAAAUGAACAAAACCCCAACCCACCAGCAAAAGAAAAUCCAAACGAACAAAAUAUUAUAACUAGGAUAAAAUCGGAAACAGGUUGUUAAAAAAUAAUGGUAGCUGCUUCUGUAGAGAGAUUGAUUUAAAAAGAAAGUCUCUACCAUACCAGUUUUUGCCUGUUAGCUACUUCCUGUUUCUAUUAAAUACGCUUUUGGUUUGUUAAGGAAUAUGCAGCUCAUUCUUCAAAGAACUUCCAAUCCAAAUAGCACAUGGCCCAAUAUACUGGCACCAAAACAGUGAGGAAGGGGACAAAGACAGGGAACUGUAC